CCAUUCUCCUGACCGAUCGGGAGAUCAUGAAGAGUCGGACGGUGUCCGACAUGCUGUCUUCCUUCUUCCCGACCAUGAUCCAGGUGAGCUCAUUUUUCUUUCUCCUCUUCAUUAUUAUUUUCCAUCAAUUCGGUUUUCUGAUAGCCGGCCCUUCGCCUACAGCUGAUCUACAAUAUGUCUGAGCUAGAGGCUGGGUACCAAAGAUUCGGCGACGUUCUGGUGGCCUGAAAGAAGAAGGCAGAGGUUGCCGAGGCCGAGAGGGCGACAAU
rnacentral:lncRNA from 1 species